rnacentral:rRNA from 1 species
UACAGAGGUGGCAAGCGUUGUUCGGAAUUACUGGGCAUAAAGCGCACGUAGGCGGUCCGUUAAGUCAUGUGUGAAAUCCCCCGGCUCAACCGGGGAAUUGCGCCUGAUACUGGCGGGCUAGAGGUCGAUAGGGGUGAGCGGAACUCCAGGUGGAGCGGUGAAAUGCGUAGAUAUCUGGAGGAACACCGGUGGCGAAAGCGGCUCACUGGAUCGAAACUGACGCUGAGGUGCGAAAGCUAGGGUAGCAAACGGG